UUACUAAUAGGUUAUCAUAAACUGGUAGGUUGUGGUUCUACUGAAUACUUUUAUUUAAUAGUAUU
rnacentral:tRNA from 1 species